GAAAAAGAAGGUGGGUGAGAAAGAGAAAUUGGGAGGAGGAGAAGGAAAUUGGAGCGGGAGGAGAGAUUGACAUUCAUCACAUACACACAAUGCACCCCUUGCACACAGAAAAACACACAGACACACAUACACAAGCAAUGCAACCGUUACACACAAUGCAUCCCUUACACAAACAGAAACACACAAUGCAUUCUUUACACACACUCAAUGCACCCCUUACACACAUUCAAUGCAUCCCAUACAUACACAGAAACACACCUUGCAGUCCUUACACAUACAAACACAAUUUCACACAAUGCAUUCCUUACACACAUAUCAGGACAUCCCCUACACACUCCACCCCCUGUGAACAAACUCAUUGGUGGAACAUGAAGGUGGACCCUGGGACCCAGACCUUGAGCUGUGUAAAGGACCCCCAAAAAAUGGAGCUGCU